UGCUAUCAAAAAAUCCCGAUGCGCGUUUCGCCGACUAGCGGCUCUUCCAAGGGAAAUCCAAGGGAAGAGCCGCUAGUCGGCGAAACGCGCAUCGGGAUUUUUUGAUAGC